UACGUAGGGUGCGAGCGUUAAUCGGAAUUACUGGGCGUAAAGCGUGCGCAGGCGGUUGUGCAAGACAGAUGUGAAAUCCCCGGGCUUAACCUGGGAACUGCAUUUGUGACUGCACGGCUAGAGUGUGUCAGAGGGGGGGUAGAAUUCCACGUGUAGCAGUGAAAUGCGUAGAUAUGUGGAGGAAUACCGAUGGCGAAGGCGGCAUCCUGGACCGGUACUGACGCUGAGGUGCGAAAGCGUGGGGGAGCAAACAGG
rnacentral:rRNA from 1 species